rnacentral:rRNA from 1 species
UACGUAGGGGGCAAGCGUUGUCCGGAAUCACUGGGCGUAAAGGGUGCGUAGGCGGUACUGCAAGUCUGACGUGAAAGUUCAGGGCUUAACCCUGAGAGUGCUUUGGAAACUGUAGAACUUGAGUGCUGGAGAGGCAAGGGGAAUUCCACGUGUAGCGGUGAAAUGCGUAGAUAUGUGGAGGAAUACCAGUGGCGAAGGCGCCUUGCUGGACAGUUACUGACGCUGAGGCACGAAAGCGUGGGGAGCAAACAGG